rnacentral:rRNA from 1 species
CCUACGGGGGGCAGCAGUGGGGAAUAUUGCGCAAUGGGUGAAAGCCUGACGCAGCGACGCCGCGUGAGGGAUGAAGGUCUUCGGAUCGUAAACCUCUGUCAGCAGGGAAGAACGGUCACUGUGCUAAUCAGCAGUGAAUUGACGGUACCUGCAAAGGAAGCACCGGCUAACUCCGUGCCAGCAGCCGCGGUAAUACGGAGGGUGCGAGCGUUAAUCGGAAUUACUGGGCGUAAAGCGCUCGUAGGCGGUAUGUCAAGUCAAGGGUGAAAUCCCCGCGCUCAACGUGGGAACUGCCUUUGAAACUGGCAAACUGGAAGGUGUAGGAGGAUGGAGGAAUUCCAGGUGGAGGAGUGAAAUCCGUAGAUAUCUGGAGGAACAUCAGUGGCGAAGGCGACUAUCUGGCACAUAACUGACGCUGAGGAGCGAAAGCGUGGGUAGCAAACAGGAUUAGAUACCCGGGUAGUC